UGACAUCUUUUGUUAUUUUAGUGUUAUAUAUAUCAAUCCACUUUAUUGUUCUUAUGUCUAGUACUUGAGACAUCAUCAAGUAUACAAUAUCAGGUGAUGAGUGAUGGAGGUUAAUGGUCUGAUGACUGUCCGUUAAUUGACUGAUCACUUCCUGACAUUGACCUGCUGAUGGUUUAGUGAGGGAUACACUAACAUUAGUCCACUUCACCUCUCCAGUCUCUUCUCCUAAUAAUAAACACAGUGAUGCUGGUUUUUGUACCAGUAAGUCAUUACAGCUGCUAGGAUGGAAUGGGUGUGGUCUAUCUUUUAUCAUGUGACAGUAAACAAAAAUCAAUUGGUGAAGGUCACUGUAGUACUUAUAAACUGAUUUAACCACAUGCAGUUAAGUGUGGACACAAUUGAGCUGGUUUCUGAACCAUUUCAAGUUGAACUGGCUUGUAUGUAUAGAUGUGACUUAAUUUUUGUGAUUUUUUGGUAAAUUUCAAAUAUGCAGUUUUUGUGAUUUUUGAUAUUGUA